AGAGUUUGAUCCUGGCUCAGGACGAACGCUGGCGGCGUGCCUAAUACAUGCAAGUAGAACGCACAGUUUAUACCGUAGCUUGCUACACCAUAGACUGUGAGUUGCGAACGGGUGAGUAACGCGUAGGUAACCUGCCUGGUAGCGGGGGAUAACUAUUGGAAACGAUAGCUAAUACCGCAUAAUAUUAAUUAUUGCAUGAUAAUUAAUUGAAAGGUGCAAUUGCACCACUACUAGAUGGACCUGCGUUGUAUUAGCUAGUAGGUGAGGUAACGGCUCACCUAGGCGACGAUACAUAGCCGACCUGAGAGGGUGAUCGGCCACACUGGGACUGAGACACGGCCCAGACUCCUACGGGAGGCAGCAGUAGGGAAUCUUCGGCAAUGGACGAAAGUCUGACCGAGCAACGCCGCGUGAGUGAAGAAGGUUUUCGGAUCGUAAAGCUCUGUUGUAAGAGAAGAACGGGUGUGAGAGUGGAAAGUUCACACUGUGACGGUAUCUUACCAGAAAGGGACGGCUAACUACGUGCCAGCAGCCGCGGUAAUACGUAGGUCCCGAGCGUUGUCCGGAUUUAUUGGGCGUAAAGCGAGCGCAGGCGGUUAGAUAAGUCUGAAGUUAAAGGCUGUGGCUUAACCAUAGUACGCUUUGGAAACUGUUUAACUUGAGUGCAGAAGGGGAGAGUGGAAUUCCAUGUGUAGCGGUGAAAUGCGUAGAUAUAUGGAGGAACACCGGUGGCGAGAGCGGCUCUCUGGUCUGUAACUGACGCUGAGGCUCGAAAGCGUGGGGA
rnacentral:rRNA from 1 species